rnacentral:misc_RNA from 1 species
AGCAGCCGUGGUAAUUCCAGCUCCAAUAGCGUAUAUUAAAGUUGUUGCAGUUAAAAAGCUCGUAGUUGAAUUUCGGGAUCAAUAUGUUGGUCGUGCCUCGGUACGUACUAGCAUAUUGGUUUCUCCUUUCUGAAGAACCAUGAUGUCAUUUAUUUGGUGUCGUGGGGAAUCAGGACUGUUACUUUGAAAAAAUUAGAGUGUUUAAAGCAGGCUCACGCUUGAAUACAUUAGCAUGGAAUAAUGAAAUAGGACGUUUGAUUCUAUUUUGUUGGUUUCUAGGAUCGACGUAAUGAUUAAUAGGGAUAGUUGGGGGCAUUAGUAUUCAAUUGUCAGAGGUGAAAUUCUUGGAUUUAUUGAAGACUAACUACUGCGAAAGCAUUUGCCAAGGAUGUUUUCAUUAAUCAAGAACGAAAGUUAGGGGAUCGAAGACGAUCAGAUACCGUCGUAGUCUUAACCAUAAACUAUGCCGACUAGGGAUCGGAUGAUGUUAAUUUUUUU